CAGAGCUUCUCGGAGACCUUGCACCCGAGAGGGGGGAGGCGACUAUAAACAAGCUUCCAGCGCAAGUCAGCACUGCUGGCAACACAAUCGAAUUGCGGGGACGCUUUAAAGCCUACCAGUACCAACUACCCCUCACCGGGUAGGGCGAGCACGCUCGAGGUCACAAUCUGGUAGGAUGCCACAAUAAGCAAUCCGCAGCGGCUCAGCCGUCCACAGACUAAGUGGUUGUGGGUAGGAGAACCCUAUCUAAGAUAUAGUCGGGCCUGAAGAGAGAUCUCCAG
rnacentral:ncRNA from 1 species